UUCAUCCAUUUUUACUGUAUUACUAGAAUGAAUGUGUUCUCAUCACAAGGACAAUGAGCCCUAUUUAUGAAUCAGUGUAAAGUUCUUAGAAUGAUAAGUUCUUAGAAUAGUGCCUAACCAUUUGUGGGAAUGGAGAAAAUAUUUGUUGAAUACUUUAGUAACUUUUCUAGCUGACUGCAGUAACACACGUGCAGAUAUCAAGCAGAUGAAUCCAGGAAGGAAGAGAGAAAAAGAGACAGAGAGAAGACAAGGGAAUGGAGCAGGAUGAAAGAUGGGCAUAAUAAAGUUCUCAAUAUAGCUCUUUCAACAGCAACAGCAGUGCUGACUCUUCAGUAUGAGACAGCUCAGUCACAGGAUAUCUUCACAUCUAAGCGAAGCAAAAAUUUAAAAGAGGAAUGAAAGUCCAU